UACAGAGGGUGCAAGCGUUGUUCGGAAUUAUUGGGCGUAAAGGGCGCGUAGGCGGCCUGGCAAGUGGAAGGUGAAAUCCCUCGGCUUAACCGAGGAACUGCGCUCGAGACUGCUUCUCUUGAGUCCCGGAGAGGAAGAUGGAAUUCCCGGUGUAGCGGUGAAAUGUGUAGAGAUCGGGAGGAACACCGGUGGCGAAGGCGGUCUUCUGGACGGUGACUGACGCUGAGGCGCGAAAGCGUGGGGAGCAAACGGG
rnacentral:rRNA from 1 species